CCUACGGGGGGCAGCAGUGAGGAAUAUUGGUCAAUGGACGAGAGUCUGAACCAGCCAAGUAGCGUGAAGGAUGACUGCCCUAUGGGUUGUAAACUUCUUUUAUAUGGGAAUAAAACGUUCCACGUGUGGGAUUUUGUAUGUACCAUAUGAAUAAGGAUCGGCUAACUCCGUGCCAGCAGCCGCGGUUAUACGGAGGAUCCGAGCGUUAUCCGGAUUUAUUGGGUUUAAAGGGAGCGUAGGUGGAUUGUUAAGUCAGUUGUGAAAGUUUGCGGCUCAACCGUAAAAUUGCAGUUGAAACUGGCAGUCUUGAGUACAGUAGAGGUAGGCGGAAUUCGUGGUGUAGCGGUGAAAUGCUUAGAUAUCACGAAGAACUCCGAUUGCGAAGGCAGUUCACUGGACUGCAACUGACACUGAGGCUCGAAAGUGUGGGUAUCAAACAGGAUUAGAUACCCUUGUAGUC
rnacentral:rRNA from 1 species